rnacentral:tRNA from 1 species
GGGGUUGGGGCUCAGUGGCAGAGCGCUUGCCUGGCACGUGUGAGGCACUGGGUUCGAUCCCCAGAACCACA